rnacentral:rRNA from 1 species
AAUCCAUAGGUUAAUGAGGCGAACCGGGGGAACUGAAACAUCUAAGUACCCCGAGGAAAAGAAAUCAACCGAGAUUCCCCCAGUAGCGGCGAGCGAACGGGGAGGAGCCCAGAGCCUGAAUCAGCAUGUGUGUUAGUGGAAGCGUCUGGAAAGGCGCGCGAUACAGGGUGACAGCCCCGUACACAAAAGCGCAUGUGCUGUGAGCUCGAUGAGUAGGGCGGGACACGUGGUAUCCUGUCUGAAUAUGGGGGGACCAUCCUCCAAGGCUAAAUACUCCUGACUGACCGAUAGUGAACCAGUACCGUGAGGGAAAGGCGAAAAGAACCCCGGCGAGGGGAGUGAAAAAGAACCUGAAACCGUGUACGUACAAGCAGUGGGAGCCCCACCACCAAAGCAUUUGCUGUACCGCGUUGACGGAGCGAAGCGACGUCAAACCGAUAAAACAGCAGUGUAAAGUGAGCCGCAGGGCGCUUUGCGCGACAGCGCAAAGGCAGGCGGUUUCGCGUAGCGAAAGCGAA